rnacentral:rRNA from 1 species
UACCAGCACCCCGAGUGGUCGGGACGAUUAUUGGGCCUAAAGCAUCCGUAGCCGGUCCUGCAAGUCUUCCGUUAAAUCCAGCUGCUCAACAGAUGGGCUGCGGGGGAUGACUACAUGGCUAGGAGGCGGGAGAGGCAAGCGGUACUUUAUGGGUAGGGUAAAAUCCGUUGAUCCAUAGAAGACCACCAGUGGCGAAGGCGGCUUGCCAGAACGCGCUCGACGGUGAGGGAGUGAAAGCUG